rnacentral:rRNA from 1 species
GUAAAGGCAAAAGAGAGCUUGAUUGCAAGACAUACAGGUCGAGCAAGGAUGAAAAUCGGACUUAGUGAUCCGGUGGUUCUGCGUGGAAGGGCCAUCGCUCAACGGAUAAAAGCUACCCUGGGGAUAACAGGCUUAUCUCCCCCAAGAGUCCACAUCGACGGGGAGGUUUGGCACCUCGAUGUCGGCUCAUCACAUCCUGGGGCUGUAGUAGGUCCCAAGGGUUGGGCUGUUCGCCCAUUAAAGUGGUACGCGAGCUGGGUUCAGAACGUCGUGAGACAGUUCGGUCCCUAUCCGUCGCAGGCGUAGGAAAUUUGAGGAGACCUGUCCUUAGUACGAGAGGACCGGGAUGGACGUACCUCUGGUGUACCAGUUGUUCUGCCAAGGGCAUGGCUGGGUAGCUAUGUACGGAAUGGAUAAGCGCUGAAAGCAUCUAAGCGCGAAGCCAACUUCAAGAUAAGAUUUCCCACCGCAAGGGUAAGACCCCAGAAAGACUAUCUGGUUGAUAGGUCGAAGGUGUAAGUGCAGCAAUGUAUUUAGCUUAUCGAUACUAAUAGGUCGAGGACUUGACCAA